ACAAUGGUGCUUCUUAGCACCAUCAACGCAUAGACAAACAGAUAU
rfam:Prunus persica cultivar Lovell chromosome G5, whole genome shotgun sequence.